GAUGAACGCUGGCGGCGUGCCUAAUACAUGCAAGUCGAGCGAACGGACGAGAAGCUUGCUUCUCUGAUGUUAGCGGCGGACGGGUGAGUAACACGUGGAUAACCUACCUAUAAGACUGGGAUAACUUCGGGAAACCGUAGCUAAUACCGGAUAAUAUUUUUAACCGCUUGGUUCAAAAGUGAAAGACGGUCUUGCUGUCACUUAUAGAUGGAUCCGCGCUGCAUUAGCUAGUUGGUAAGGUAACGGCUUACCAAGGCAACGAUGCAUAGCCGACCUGAGAGGGUGAUCGGCCACACUGGAACUGAGACACGGUCCAGACUCCUAAGGGAGGCAGCAGUAGGGAAUCUUCCGCAAUGGGCGAAAGCCUGACGGAGCAAAGCCGCGUGAGUGAUGAAGGUAUUCGGAUCGUAAAACUCUGUUAUUAGGGAAGAACAUAUGUGUAAGUAACUGUGCACAUCUUGACGGUACCUAAUCAGAAAGCCACGGCUAACUACGUG
rnacentral:rRNA from 1 species